AGGGCGCACGGUGAAUGCCUAGCACUAACAGCCGAUGAAGGACGUGACGAACUACGAAAAGCUUCGGGGAGCGGUAAGUACGCAGUGAUCCGGAGAUGUCCGAAUGGGGGAACCCAAUGCAGCGAUGCAUUAUUGGUUGAUGAAUAGAUAGUCAAUCAAAGGAAGACGCAGUGAACUGAAACAUCUAAGUAGCUGCAGGAAGAGAAAGAAAAAUCGAUUUCCUUAGUAGCGGCGAGCGAAGAGGAAAGAGCCCAAACCAAGUGAUUUAUCAUUUGGGGUUGUAGGACUGCAAAGUGGUAGCGUAAGCGAUAGUUGAAUUAUCUGGGAAGGUAAGCCAGAGAGGGUGAGAGCCCCGUAAGCGAAAUUGCGAGCGCGCCUAGCAGAAUCCUGAGUAGGCCGGGACACGAGGAAUCCCGGUUGAAGCCGCGAGGACCAUCUCGCAAGGCUAAAUACUAGUUAGUGACCGAUAGUGAACCAGUACCGUGAGGGAAAGGUGAAAAGAACCCCGGAAGGGGAGUGAAAGAGAACCUGAAACCGUGUGUCUACAAGUAGUCAAAGCACAUUAAAGUGCGAUGGCGUGCCUUUUGUAGAAUGAACCGGCGAGUUACGUUAUCUAGCGAGGUUAAGUCAGAAAAGACGGAGCCGGAGCGAAAGCGAGUCUGAAUAGGGCGAAGAGUUAGGUGACGUAGACCCGAAACCAAGUGACCUACCCAUGGCCAGGCUGAAGGUGUGGUAAAACGCACUGGAGGGCCGAACCCACGUAAGUUAAAAAUUGCGGGGAUGAGCUGUGGGUAGCGGUGAAAUUCCAAACGAACUUGGAGAUAGCUGGUUCUCUCCGAAAUAGCUUUAGGGCUAGCCUCGUGGAGAGGAUAAUGGAGGUAGAGCUCUGUUUGGACUAGGGGCCCGUCAGGGGUUACUGAAUCCAGAUAAACUGCGAAUUCCAUAUAUCCAUACACGGGAGUCAGACUGCGAGUGAUAAGAUCCGUAGUCGAAAGGGAAACAGCCCAGAUCACCAGUUAAGGUCCCCAAAUCUAUGCUAAGUGGAAAAGGAUGUGGAGUUGCGUAGACAACUAGGACGUUGGCUCAGAAGCAGCCAUCAUUCAAAGAGUGCGUAAUAGCUCACUAGUCGAGUGGCGCUGCGCCGAAAAUUUACCGGGGCUAAGCAUAGUACCGAAACUGUGGAUGCAUCGAAAGAUGCGUGGUAGGAGAGCGUUCUAAGUGCGGCGAAGGUUAACCGAGAGGAUAAUUGGAGCGCUUAGAAGUGAGAAUGCCGGUAUGAGUAGCGAAAGACAGGUGAGAAUCCUGUCCGCCGAAAGACUAAGGUUUCCUGGGGCAGGCUCGUCCGCCCAGGGUAAGUCGGGACCUAAGGCAAGGCCGAGAGGCGUAGUCGAUGGAUAACAGGUAGAAAUUCCUGUACUGUGUUUAAUCGUUAUGAGCGAUGGAGGGACGCAGGAGGUGAAACACGCAUCGAGCUGGAUCGAUGUUCAAGCAACAAGUGCGGUUAAGAGUCAAAUGCUUCUAACCAGCAACACGAGUUGUGAUGAGUAGCGAAGUAAUAGUAGCGAAGGUGAUGUAAUCACACUGCCAAGAAAAGCUUCUAGCCAGAGAGGACACACCCGUACCGCAAACCGACACAGGUAGUCGAGUGGAGAACACUAAGGUGAGCGAGAGAACUCUCGUUAAGGAACUCGGCAAAAUGACCCCGUAACUUCGGAAGAAGGGGUGCUGGCCACGAGAGUGGUUAGCCGCAGUGAAUAGGCCCAAACAACUGUUUAUCAAAAACACAGGUCUCUGCAAAAUCGUAAGAUGACGUAUAGAGGCUGACACCUGCCCGGUGCUGGAAGGUUAAGAGGAGAGCUUAGCGAAAGCGAAGGUUCGAAUUGAAGCCCCAGUAAACGGCGGCCGUAACUAUAACGGUCCUAAGGUAGCGAAAUUCCUUGUCGGGUAAGUUCCGACCUGCACGAAAGGUGUAAUGAUUUGGGCACUGUCUCAACGAGAGACUCGGUGAAAUUAUAAUACCCGUGAAGAUGCGGGUUACCCGCGACAGGACGGAAAGACCCCAUGGAGCUUCACUGUAGCUUGAUAUUGAGUAUCUUUUAAACAUGUACAGGAUAGGUAGGAGCCAAGGAAGGCAGGACGCUAGUUUUGCUGGAGGCAAUGUUGGGAUACUACCCUUGUUUGAAGGAUGCUCUAACCUCGACCUGUAAGCCAGGUCAGGGACAGUGUCAGGUGGGCAGUUUGACUGGGGCGGUCGCCUCCUAAAGUGUAACGGAGGCGCUCAAAGGUUCCCUCAGAAUGGUUGGAAAUCAUUCGCAGAGUGUAAAGGUAUAAGGGAGCUUGACUGCGAGAGAAACAGCUCGAGCAGGGACGAAAGUCGGACUUAGUGAUCUGGUGGUACCGUAUGGAAGGGCCAUCACUCAACGGAUAAAAGCUACCCUGGGGAUAACAGGCUUAUCUCCCCCAAGAGUUCACAUCGACGGGAGGUUUGGCACCUCGAUGUCGGCUCGUCGCAUCCUGGGGCUGAAGUCGGUCCCAAGGGUUGGGCUGUUCGCCCAUUAAAGCGGCACGCGAGCUGGGUUCAGAACGUCGUGAGACAGUUCGGUCCCUAUCCGUCGUGGGCGUAGGAAAUUUGAGAGGAGCUGUCCUUAGUACGAGAGGACCGGGAUGGACGCACCGCUGGUGUACCAGUUGUUCCGCCAGGAGCAUCGCUGGGUAGCUAUGUGCGGAAGGGAUAAGCGCUGAAAGCAUCUAAGUGCGAAGCCCCCCUCAAGAUGAGAUUUCCUUUGC
rnacentral:rRNA from 1 species